rnacentral:rRNA from 1 species
AUUGAACGCUGGCGGCAGGCCUAACACAUGCAAGUCGAACGAGUGGCGGACGGGUGAGUAAUGUCUGGGAAACUGCCUGAUGGAGGGGGAUGACUACUGAAAACGGUAGCUAAUACCGCAUAACAUCGGAUGCGCCCAAAUGGGUUUAGCUAGUAGGUGGGGUAAAGGCUCACCUAGGCGACGAUCCCUAGCUGGUCUGAGAGGAUGACCAGCCACACUGGAACUGCGACACGGUCCAGACUCCUACGGGAGGCAGCAGUGGGGAAUAUUGCACAAUGGGCGCAAGCCUGAUGCAGCCAUGCCGCGUGUAUGAAGAAGGCCUGCGGGUUGUAAAGUACUUUCAGCGGGGAGGCGUUACCCGCAGAAGAAGCACCGGCUAACUCCGUGCCAGCAGCCGCGGUAAUUC